rnacentral:rRNA from 1 species
CAACAGCGUAUAUUAAAGUUGUUGCAGUUAAAAAGCUCGUAGUUGAACCUUGGGCCUGGCUGGCCGGUCUGCCUCACCGCAUGCACUGGUCCGGCCGGGCCUUUCCCUCUGGGGAUCCGCAUGCCCUUCACUGGGUGUGUCGGGGAACCAGGACUUUUACUGUGAAAAAAUUAGAGUGUUCAAAGCAGGCCUAUGCUCGAAUACAUUAGCAUGGAAUAAUAGAAUAGGACGUUGCGGUUCUAUUUUGUUGGUUUCUAGGACCGCCGUAAUGAUUAAUAGGGACAGUCGGGGGCGUCAGUAUUCAAUCGUCAGAGGUGAAAUUCUUGGAUCGAUUGAAGACUAACUACUGCGAAAGCAUUCGCCAAGGAUGUUUUCAUUAA